rnacentral:rRNA from 1 species
GUCCGCGCUGUAAACGAUGAGUGCUAGACGGUGGAGGUAUUGACCCCUUCGCUGCCGAAGCUAACGCGUUAAGCACUCCGCCUGGGGAGUACGGUCGCAAGACUAAAACUCAAAGGAAUUGACGGGGGCCCCGCACAAGCGGUGGAGCAUGUGGUUUAAUUCGACGCAACGCGCAAAACCUUACCUGGGUUAAAUCCGCCGGAACCUGUCUGAAAGGAUGGGGUGCCCUUCGGGGAAUCGGUGAGAAGGUGCUGCAUGGCUGUCGU